CUUUAUAGAUCACCCACCAUAAUACCCUCCACUUUGCCCUUCAUAACUAGGGUACCUCCAGAACUGCAAUCCCCAGAUCAUCCUGAAAACCUGUCAUAUCCAUUCUACUUUCACCUCUGCCAGUUCUUCCUCUGAAGGUCCUUCCUGAUUCUGUUCAAAACUCUCACCAUCAGACACAUAUCCUCCAAACCAAAGUUCCCUCUUCUUUCACUCUAGAAAGCUUGACAUCCUGCAUUGCUUUGUCCAGACAGUACCUUCUUUCUUCUAUAUUAUGGCCAUUGAUGGUAUGAUACUUUCACAACACAGUUUUACCCAUGGUAUAAUGGUUUCCCAA
rnacentral:lncRNA from 1 species